rnacentral:rRNA from 1 species
AUACGUAGGGGGCGAGCGUUGUCCGGAAUGAUUGGGCGUAAAGGGCGCGUAGGCGGCCCGGUAAGUCUGGAGUGAAAGUCCUGUUUUUAAGAUGGGAAUUGCUUUGGAUACUGUCGGGCUUGAGUGCAGGAGAGGUAAGUGGAAUUCCCAGUGUAGCGGUGAAAUGCGUAGAGAUUGGGAGGAACGCCAGUGGCGGAGGCGAAUUACCGGACGGUAAAUGACGCUGAGGCGCGAAAGUGUGGGGAGCAAAAAGGAUUAGAUACCCUGGGAGUCCUCACUGUAAACGAAGAAUGCUAGGUGUAGGGGGUAACGACCCCCUCUGUGCCGCAGUCAACACAAUAAGCAUUCCGCCUGGGGAGUACGGCCGCAAGGUUGAAACUCAAAUGAAUUGACGGGG